UACGGAAGGUCCGGGCGUUAUCCGGAUUUAUUGGGUUUAAAGGGAGCGUAGGCCGUGAGGUAAGCGUGUUGUGAAAUGUAGGCGCCCAACGUCUGCACUGCAGCGCGAACUGCCCCACUUGAGUGCGCGCAACGCCGGCGGAACUCGUCGUGUAGCGGUGAAAUGCUUAGAUAUGACGAAGAACCCCGAUUGCGAAGGCAGCUGGCGGGAGCGUAACUGACGCUGAAGCUCGAAAGCGCGGGUAUCGAACAGGAUUAGAUACCCUGGUAGUCCGCGCGGUAAACGAUGGAUGCCCGCUGUGGCGCGCCUGGCGUGCCGCGGCUAAGCGAAAGCAUUAAGCAUCCCACCUGGGGAGUACGCCGGCAACGGUGAAACUCAAAGGAAUUGACGGGGGCCCGCACAAGCGGAGGAACAUGUGGUUUAAUUCGAUGAUACGCGAGGAACCUUACCCGGGCUUGAACUGCAGGAGAACGAUUCAGAGAUGAUGAGGUCCUUCGGGACUCCUGUGGAGGUGCUGCAUGGUUGUCGUCAGCUCGUGCCGUGAGGUGUCGGCUUAAGUGCCAUAACGAGCGCAACCCCUCUCCGUAGUUGCCAUCGGGUAAUGCCGGGCACUCUGCGGACACUGCCACCGUAAGGUGUGAGGAAGGUGGGGAUGACGUCAAAUCAGCACGGCCCUUACGUCCGGGGCCACACACGUGUUACAAUGGCCGUCACAGAGGGGAGCCGGGCGACCGGCUCAUGAUCCUUAAAAACGGUCUCAGUUCGGACUGGGGUCUGCAACCCGACCCCACGAAGCUGGAUUCGCUAGUAAUCGCGCAUCAGCCAUGGCGCGGUGAAUACGUUCCCGGGCCUUGUACACACCGCCCGUCAAGCCAUGAAAGCCGGGGGCGCCUGAAGUCCGUGACCGCAAGGAUCGGCCUAGGGCGAAACUGGUGAUUGGGGCUAAGUCGUAACAAGGUAGCCGUACCGGAAGGUGCGGCUG
rnacentral:rRNA from 1 species